AUGGCUGCGGAGAAACUUGAUGACGGCCAUGGAGUUCACGUCCUCAUGCCUACGGUGAUCCUCACGGAAGUCUUCCUCGAGCUCACUGCCCCAGUGGAGUGCAGUGCAGACCACAACAUCAUCACCAUUGACAGCAACAACCAUGCUGCACCGACGCCUAUCACAUGUUUGACAGAGUGCCCGAGUCACGCCGCCGCCGUUGACAUCUCCCCUAAGCUGGCAGCUUCUACUCUAUGCGGAGAGACCGUCGACAUCGAAGCCAUCAGUGUUGCUGCACCAACAUUCGAUGUGUGUUCUAUUGUUGGUCCGACCAAUGCUGAAGUCAACAGUUAUGUGCCGGUGCCCCUCAUUGUGUGGAGUGUCAACCCAUUCUCCGCAGCUCCCCUCAAGGUCGUGCCAACCAUAGCGCAUUGGUCAUGUUCCACCCCCAAAUUGGACACCAUGGCGUCAACAAGGUGUUGGACCCUCUGCCUCGACCACAUUGGUGCGUUGACGCCCACGUACAUGCUGGAUAAGAAUGUGAACAUAAGGCAACAAGCACAAAUGUUACGACCAAUGCCAUGGCCAUCAUUUAAGUGCCAUUCAGAAGCAAGCAGUCCUCAAGAUCCACGCCCAGCAACUCAAGGUAUAUUUGGGAAACUAUCUACAUGUCAGCCACACGAGGAUCUCAAUGGUUGGGCUGCCAGUUUGGUCUUGCAUUGGAAUAGCUCAUUUGAUGGACACUAUUUAUAA
rnacentral:rRNA from 1 species